AUUUGUUAGACGAGGUAACAUCAUAAAACCCUUCCAAAUUCUGAGCUGGAAUGUAAGUUAAGGUACGACCAACAGUGGGUUUGUUUUUACAUAGAGAGGUUAGUAGACAUGAGAAAAAUAUAAAGGUUAGAAAAAUGGCUAUAAUAACAAAUAUAGCUAAUAGCAAAAAGUACAAACUUUUCUUAAUUUGUAAAGUCAAUGGCUGCUCUGUUCUCAAGGAUUGC